rnacentral:tRNA from 1 species
GCCCCCGUAGCUCAGCGGAUAGAGCAGAGGCCUUCUAAUCCUUUGGUCGCAGGUUCGAUUCCUGCCGGGGGCACCG